GUUUGUUCUAUAUAAGUCAUAACGACUCUCGGCAACGGAUAUCUCGGCUCUCGCAUCGAUGAAGAACGUAGCGAAAUGCGAUACGUGGUGUGAAUUGCAGAAUUCCGUGAACCAUCGAGUUUUUGAACGCAAGUUGCGCCCAAAGCCAUUCGGCCGAGGGCACGCCUGCCUGG
rnacentral:rRNA from 1 species